UACGGAGGAUGCAAGCGUUAUCCGGAAUGAUUGGGCGUAAAGCGUCCGCAGGUGGCUGUGUAAGUCUGCUGUCAAAGAGCGAAGCUCAACUUCGUAAAGGCGGUGGAAACUACACGGCUAGAGUGCGUUCGGGGCAGAGGGAAUUCCUGGUGUAGCGGUGAAAUGCGUAGAGAUCAGGAAGAACACCGGUGGCGAAGGCGCUCUGCUAGGCCGCAACUGACACUGAGGGACGAAAGCUAGGGGAGCGAAUGGG
rnacentral:rRNA from 1 species